AUUGAACGAUGGCGGCAGGCUUAACAAAUGCAAGUCGAGCGAGCGGCGGACGGGUGAGUAAUGUCUGGGAAACUGCCUGAUGGAGGGGGAUAACUACUGGAAACGGUAGCUAAUACCGCAUAGCAUCCUGUGUGCCCAGAUGGGCUUAGCUAUUAGGUGGGGUAAUGGCUCACCUCGGCGACGAUCCCUAGCUGGUCUGAGAGGCUGACCAGCCCCGCUGGAACUUAGACACGGUCCAGACUCCGACGUGAGGCAGCAGUAGGGAAUAUUGCACAAUGGGCGCAAGCCUGAUGCAGCCAUGCCGCGUGUGUGAAGAAGGCCUUCGGGUUGUAAAGCACUUUCAGCGAGGAGGCGUUACUCUCAGAAGAAGCACCGGCUAACUCCGUGCCAGCAGCCGCGGUAAUAC
rnacentral:rRNA from 1 species